AUGUCUUCAAACCAGCAGAAAACCGAUGUCAAUGUCGUUAUCACCGCAUCGCCUCCUUCGUUCAUCGUUAACGGUGCCCUGAAACGCGUUUGGAUUCUCAAAACACCGUACCAAAAUCCCUUCCGUUGUUGUUUACAUAGAUCACACCAGGUUGAGAGAACUGUGAAGUUCGAUCGCAAUCCGCUAGCAUUGUUCUUUUUUUUUUCUGUUUCCGUAGAGUUUUUGAGUUUGAGAGCAGAGUCGAAAUUGGAAGGUUAUGUUGUUGUUAAUCGAAAUUGA